CCAGAGGACUUAGCAGAGAUGCUUUGGUGCCUUCGGGAACUCUGAGACAGGUGCUGCAUGGCUGUCGUCAGCUCGUGUUGUGAAAUGUUGGGUUAAGUCCCGCAACGAGCGCAACCCUUAUCCUUUGUCGCCAGCGGCUCGGCCGGGAACUCAAAGGAGACUGCCGGUGAUAAACCGGAGGAAGGUGGGGAUGACGUCAAGUCAUCAUGGCCCUUACGGCCAGGGCUACACACGUGCUACAAUGGCGCAUACAAAGAGAAGCGACCUCGCGAGAGCAAGCGGACCUCAUAAAGUGCGUCGUAGUCCGGAUUGGAGUCUGCAACUCGACUCCAUGAAGUCGGAAUCGCUAGUAAUCGUAGAUCAGAAUGCUACGGUGAAUACGUUCCCGGGCCUUGUACACACCGCCCGUCACACCAUGGGAGUGGGUUGCAAAAGAAGUAGGUAGCUUAACCUUCGGGAGGGCGCUUACCACUUUGUGAUUCAUGACUGGGGUGAAGUCGUAACAAGGUAGGCGUAGCGAG
rnacentral:rRNA from 1 species